rnacentral:rRNA from 1 species
GAUGAACGCUAGCGGCAGGCCUAAUACAUGCAAGUCGAACGGGAUCCAGAUCAAAGCUUGCUUUGGUCUGGCGAGAGUGGCGCACGGGUGCGUAACGCGUGAGCAACCUACCCUUGUCAGGGGGUUAGCCCGGCGAACGUCGGAUUAAUACCGCUUCACAUCAUUGAUAGGCAUCUUUCGAUGAUCAAAGAUUUAUCGGACAAGUAUGCGCUCGCGUGACAUUAGCUUGUUGGUAAGGUAACGGCUUACCAAGGCUGGGAUGUCGAGGGGCUCUGAGAGGAGAAUACCCCACAAUGGUACUGAGACACGGACCAGACUCCUACGGGAGGGAGCAGUAAGGAAGAUUGGGCAAGGGAGGGAAGUCUGAACCAGCCAUGCCGGGUGCAGGAGGACGGCGCUAUGGGUUGUAAACUGCUUUUAUACGGGAACAAACGUCGGUACGUGUACCGGUCUGAGUGUACCGUAAGAAUAAGGAUCGGCUAACUCCGUG